rnacentral:tRNA from 1 species
UCCGAUAUGGUCUAGUGGCUAGGAUUUGCCGCUCUCAUCGAGAGUCAGUUCGCCUCAGCGCCGGCAAGGCCCGGGUUCGAUUCCCGGUGUCGGAA